rnacentral:rRNA from 1 species
GAUGAACGCUGGCGGCGUGCCUAAUACAUGCAAGUCGAGCGAACGGACCAGCAGCCUUCUCCUCUGAUGUUAUCGACGGGCGUGUGCGUCACCCGUGCAUAACCAACCUAUACGACUGGGAUCACUUCGGGCACCCGGCGCUCCUACCGGAUAAUAUUUUGCACCGCAUGGUUCAAAAGUCCAAGACGGUCUUGCUGUCACUUAUAGAUGGAUCCGCGCUGCAUUAGCUAGUUGGUAAGGUAACGGCUUACCAAGGCAACGAUGCAUAGCCGACCUGAGAGGGUGAUCGGCCACACUGGAACUGAGACACGGUCCAGACUACGACGGGAGGCAGCAGUAGCGGAUCUGCCGCAUGGGGCGAAAGCCUGACGGGGCAACGCCGCGUGAAUGACGGAGGUCUACGGAUCGGAAAACUCUGUUAGUAGGGAAGAACAGAGGUGUGAGUAACUGUGCACUUCUGGACGGUACCUAAUCAGAAAGGCACGGCUAACUACGGG